rnacentral:tRNA from 1 species
UGUUCUAUGGCUUAGUUGGUUAAAGCGCUGGUCUAGCGCCGACUCCGUACGUGGAUUCGAAUCCCACCAGAACGC